rnacentral:lncRNA from 1 species
CCGAACACGACACACACAUAGCCUCCUUUGCAGAUGAGGUGGUCCAUCUGAAGUACACGGAAGUCACUGGGCGAGAGGCAGGUUCUGGGGAACUACUUUAUAAAGGGCACUAACAAAUUUGGAAGGCACCCUUUGUGCUCUUCCCUGCUCCCUUCUUCUUCCCAGUAGGAGCACUGGCAGCCACCAUGGGCCAUGAGGGGAAGGUGCAGAGGGAAGCCACAUAGGAAGGAUGGCAGAGCAGAAAGUUGUAAUGGCAUGGGGGAAAGAAGGAGUCCUCUGAAGAACAUGCUUGUAAGAAACUGUCAUGGAAUGGAGUGAGCUGAGCUUUUUUUUGUUGGGAGAGGUGGUGUGUGUGUGCAUAUUUAGAAGCAGAGCUCUAAUAGUCAGCACAGAAGAGGAAAAAUUGAGCUGAGGGCUAUCACUAGCAAUCCUCCUCCUCUAACAAAGUUCGGCCUCUUCUUUCAAUAACAGCUCUUUUGU